AAACCAUCAGAUCUCAUAAGAACUCACUCACUAUCAUGAUGACAGCAAGGGGAAAACCCACCCCCAUACUCCAGUCACCUCCCACCAGUCUUGCACGUCAGACACAGCUGGUGUGUGUACAUAGGCACAUGCACACACACACACACACACACACACACACACAUGCACACACACACACCAGGGAGGAAGAGACAGUUGGGUCCAGCUCUUGUUCUUCCAGAAGUUGGCAUGGUAGGGAUGAAAAUGAACUCUGCUACUUUGUUUACAAUGAGAGUCCUGGCAAUGGCGUGACUUAAAAGGGGCUCUCAAGCUUAAUAGCUCCUGUGUUUUCUGGAUUUAUAAGGAAAUGUGUCUUUGUUUUACUCACAAAAGCAUUUUUUAAGAGAUCUCAAGAAUUUGAAGGUUUGA
rnacentral:lncRNA from 10 species